CCUCUGCCACAUGUUCCGGCCCCCGACUCCAAGGCAUGGAAGUGUGAGGGACGAAAGGCCCUAGCUCCCAGGCUGAGCACCAGAGCAUGCGGGUCGCCCCCAGCCCACUCAUUGUGACCAGCCGGCUGCCUGCAGCUGCCCCAGUGUUCUGCCACUCCCUUUGAUGAGGUCACAAACCAGACAGAGGAGGGGGCCGCCAGCAGGGCUGUCUCCAAGGGCCCCAGGCGGAGCAGCAGCUGGCAGUAAGGGUGGGGAAGGGGCAUGGGGACAGAGUGAGACCACCAAGGCGCGGACAGAGUGGUGACCCAAGCCUGCCCACACCAGGCUCAGCCACGAGGGAGAGAAGUCCACCAGUGGUGCAUAUACCAGUGAGAACAUGCAAAGUCCUGAAGUGUCGACUGUGAGGAGGUGGCAGCUGGGGUGUACGCAGGACAACACGGCAAACUUCACAGGGGAAGCGAGGCACGCUGUCCCCCGAACGAUGCCAAAGUGGUACAUUACACAGGAGCAGCCCAACACCACCCAAGCUGGCAGGGACCUCACAGGAGACUCCCUUAUGGACAAAGGUGCAAAGCUUCUCCGUAAGAUGUGAGCAGGUAAAGCCUAAUGCUCCCAGAAGGGAGUAACACACUAGAUUCAACUGUUUCGGAAUUUAAAAUGGUUCCUGGUUAGAGUGUCUCCCAGACACAAGUCUGUGAAACUCUGAAGAAAAAGUGACUUGUUUUGAUGCCCUGUGCUUGGCCAUGCUCCAGGAGCCUCGGGAUGGAACCAGCUGUGCCCCCAAACUGGGCCUCUGACCUCCAGAACUGCCAGAGGAAACCCUGUGCUCUUCUAAGGUACCUGGUGAGGGGGGCUCUUGCUGCAAAAGCCCCAGGAAAUGCAUAUACCCCUGAGAGAGGACGCACAGGACAACUGGCGCUACUGCAGGACAAGGGUGGGUAGCUGGGCUGCUGGAGGACCAGGGGGCCAGGGGUGCAGGUUCCAUCACAGACCUACUGUCCGGCUUUUACCCUGGAACCUAUUUCUCAAGUGACACUUGAAAGGACGUGUGUAUCUGUGCUUCAGACCACCACAGACACACCCAGCCUGCAGAUUAUAGACAGAAUGGUAAAACCGAGUCGCACAGGCCACAGCAGUACGGGGUGCUGGUGACUGGUCAGAACACACAGCCACUUGCCCCUCUGCCCCAGAAGAGGUUCAAGAUGAAAGGACCAUCCAGAGGUCCAGAAGCCCCCAAGGGCAGGAUCCAGGGCCCUCCCUGCAGCUGACCCUAACCCACAGCGGGUCCACAGGCACUACCACAGACCCACCCCAGCUACUUGCGGCCCAUGUGAACAGAAAAGCCAGCGCGCUCCCCUCCCCUCGAAGUCUUGGCUGCCCAGCAGAGUGGACGGCCUAGAACACAAGCUGGGGGGCACUGACGGGGAAUGUCCAGCAACGGAUGGGGUGGGUCCUGCAAGUCUUGCGGGGGCCUCCAGCCCCAACCCCCCUCACUCCCUGACCUCCCUUCCUGAGGCUGAGAUGGCUCCCAGUAGCAGGGCUCAUCUAGGGGAAAUGUCCCUCCCCCUGGAGGGAGUAGGGUUCUAAUGGAUGGAGGUUCUAAUGGAACAGGCAGCAAGGUACCCCAGCAACACAGAAACCCACCAGAGUGCCUCAUGCCCUUCUCAUGCCAGAGUUCAGACCUCUGCAUGUCAUGAAGUGACAGGAAUCCCAUCACAAACAAGCCUGCACUUGGGAAGCAAGGAGAGGAAGGAGGUACCCAAAGGGCCAGGCCACAAGAGGGCGGCAGGUUGCCAAGGCCCCAGGGGGCCCACUGGGCGCCCUGAUGGGGAGAGGAGCUCCUGCCCUCUGAUGAGGGCCUGCACUAGCGUCAGGGGGCUUCUUGAGGGCAGUACCCCCUCCACUUCCUGCAGCCUCCAGGGUCCAACUCAGACUCUGCCAGGGAGUAAGCCCCUGGCCAGGCCCAGCCCCCAAGAUCUGGGCAUCCCAGAGCCCUGCCAAGGUGGGAUGUUUCAGUACCAGGGAGGCUCCCUCUCCACAUCCCAACAGGCUAAAUUGAAAAAAAAAAAAAAAAAAAAAAGAAACAGCUCUAGGAGAGGGGCAGAGGGUCUAGGUCAAGACCCUCCCCUCUAAGCCUCAGUGUCCCUGAGGUGACACAAGGCUGCAGGUCUAGGCACAUUAAGCACACAGCUGCCGGGGCUCAGCCACAGCCCCUGCGGCUCAGAAAUGAGUGUGUGGGGCCCAGAGUUCGACCCCCAUGCUCCUGCUGAAGCUUCUGGAGGCCUCUGGGGGAGGCAGGUAGAUGGAGAAGGCAUUUGCGAUGCUACCUAGCCCCCACCCCACCCUGCCUCAAGGUACCAGCCCUCAGGGGACCAGGAGGAACUGGAGAAACUUCCCAAGAAAACCUUCGCCAAGCAACAGGUGACCUUCAAAAGGUGGAGAGGUGCUGUGGCGCCACAGAAGCACCUUCCCGUUACUAGGGAAUUAAUCUGGCUGGAAGCCAACGGGCGCUCCUUUGGGGUUUGUACCAGGGAAGAAUGCCUUUGGUAAACAAGACUAAUUGGCUGUU